ACUGUAACAGAAAAAUGUUGUGAAUAACAAAAAUGAACAUUGAACAUUCUUUAUCAAUACACUCACACACCUGAAAUUAAGAACAGCAAGGAUAACAAAGGGGGAUUGAACUGUUUUCCAAACUGCACCCUAAGUCUAAAAGAUAAGAACUUUGCAGAUGUAUAGGAAAUGACAGUGUGACCAUUGCAAAGCCUGUGAAAUGACAAGAUUAGAGGAUGACAAGAUCAGUGGAAGAGGCCACACGGACACAUUAUUAUGAACCUUGGGUCCAGCAUCUAGUAUAAAUAGAGAACUGCUUUUCAAGCAAACUAACUCACUCUGUUCAGACUUAGGUCGGGACAGACUGACUUCACACUUGCAAGUGUAUUGAAUAAAGAAGUUUGAUACGCCACAGGAUUCUGCUACGUUCUUCUCUGCAACUUAGGAAAAGUUUACUUGAACUAUUAUUUCUGAUUAAUGGAAUAGAAUUUCCUCCACAUUUUCUGGGUGCUCGUCCGGGAUAGUUUGUUCGUUCACAGGACCACCUGAGAGGCGACGGACUGCUGCAGAAGUCACGUCAAGUUGUUAACAACCUCCUGUCUGACCCAAAGGACAGCGGGACUCAGAGUGUGACUGGGACGACACUACUAUCCUAUAGGGAAAAAGAACCUUGCAGAGAGAAAGAACGAGCAGACUCCAGAGGGGUUUUUUAAACGACGAUUGACGUAAGUACAGUUUUUGGUGCACAUAGUGAAAGGGAAACUGGGUUUCCGCUCACUUGACUGACGAGCAGUGAGAACAUAAUGAAAGGGAAACUGGGUUUCCGCUCAUGUGCUGACGGGCCGUGAGAGCAUAUUAUUGUUAAUCAUGGGGUCCUGUCGUACUAAGAGUGUGUAUAAGGAAGAGAAGGAUUAGGAAAAUGUUUUGCAGAGUCUGGGACUCAGCUAAUAUGACAAGGGAUGUCUAAGAGAGAUGUAUAGGCUUAUGGAAUCAAAGUCUGAAAACUGGGAGAAUUUAGGGCUUUGAAUGGCUAGUAGACACGGCACCCCUGAUGUAACAAUAUACUGUACAUAGAGAGGAAAGGUUUGACAAUUUUUAAGGGCCUGUAAACAUCCUAAUGUUCAAUUUAUGAUAACUAAUUAUGGACCUGGUUCUAUAUCACAAUAUUGUAAGUGGGUAAUGGACUGUGUAUUUCCAGAAAAAGGUAGUGAUACUGAAAGGCAUUUAAGAAAAAAGAAGUUGAGGGAAAAGUUAAGAGAAAAGUUGCAGGAGCAUGAGGCUUCAAUGAAAACAUACAAGAAGUAAAACAGCAUGCAAAUCACACACACAAACUUAAUCGCAAUCUGAUUCUGUUCAGUGUUUUGAACAUGCAAAUCACACACAAACUUAUUCACAAUCUUCUUCUCUUUAGUGUUUUAAAUCUUUUGUAGACCCAGACAUGGAUGGCUGCCUUCUCAGACCGCCACCUCAGGCACCCCCGCAGACGAACAAUAACCAACCACCAGCUGUUAUACUGAUUCCUACUGCUACUACUUCUACAUCCAAUCAGCGGACAGUUUACUUUCCAGCAGGAUGUUACACACACAGAUGUGCGCAAAGGAAUGCAGCUCUCAGAAGUGUGAGACAAGAUGAUCCUCUUUCCAACACACUCAGGGAACAUGAUCUUUCUACUUUCCAGUAAAAAUGGACAUGACAAAAUCUGUAUGUGUAGAUAUGAGGACGAUGAAACAGUCUCCAGAUAUCUUGCACUAUUGACAGUAGUACAUGAUGCACACAGUGGCCUUGAAUGCCCUGAUAACAUGGCGGAAGCUGCUGACAUAACUCCAUAUGAGGCUCAUCUGAGAAACAGUUUCAUAAAUGGAUUAAGAGAGGACAUUACAAGAAACAUCAAGCAAACUUGCUUUACCUGGGACACUGAAAAACUGUCUAUGAUUGAACAGCAUUUCAUCCAUGCAAAAAAGCUGCUAAAGGCCGAGAGACAAAAAAGAAAAAAGACGAAAGGUUAAAAAUGAAACACCGUCUCAACAUGGUUCAGUUAUCUGAGGUCGGAGGAGAUUCCAUCAGAGGAAGAGGAUUUUAACAGGAUUUCAGAUUGGAUUUCAGAAUGGAUGUUUUAUAUGUGGAAGUUCAGAUCACUGGGCACAGUAUUGCCCUAAGAAAUAUUGAGGGGAAACCAAGAGGCCUGAGGUUAUGGACGAAUCUGGGACGGGUGAGCACCCAGGGAUGGGUUGUCAAGGAACAGGAGAAAGGCAAGUUCGAGAGUAAGCUGAAACCUGGAGAGUGGAUUCUGGUCAAGGACUUCUGGAGGAGAAACUGGUCAUCCCCAAGGUGGAGAGGACCAUUCCAAGUCCUAAUGGUUACACCGACAGCGUGUAAGGUAGACGGAGGAGUGUCCUGGAUCCAUCAAAGCCACACAAGGAAGGUUCCAGCACCACCGACAGACACUCGUGACGUGCACUAGAUCACUGGACACCCAAUAGUCUGCAGGGCGGGCCAGGUGUGUAAGUGAAUACGAAAACGUAUUUUACCUGAAGCGCCAUCACGUAGACUCAAGAAGUUGGGUUAAUCUUAGUGACUAGGGGUACGGGAAAAGGGUGUGCCAGGUGCUACAGAGGGAAAAUGAGA